UACGAAGGGGGCUAGCGUUGCUCGGAAUCACUGGGCGUAAAGCGCACGUAGGCGGCUUUUUAAGUCAGAGGUGAAAUCCUGGAGCUCAACUCCAGAACUGCCUUUGAUACUGGAGAGCUUGAGUCCGGGAGAGGUGAGUGGAACUGCGAGUGUAGAGGUGAAAUUCGUAGAUAUUCGCAAGAACACCAAUGGCGAAGGCAGCUCGCUGGGACGGUACGUGACGCUGAGACGCGAAAGCGUGGGGAGCAACA
rnacentral:rRNA from 1 species